rnacentral:misc_RNA from 1 species
UCCGAGUUGACCCCGGCAGUCUCCCGUGAGUCCCCGCCACUACGCGCUGGCAACACGGAACGAGGGUUGCGCUCGUUGCGGGACUUAACCCAACAUCUCACGACACGAGCUGACGACAACCAUGCACCACCUGUACGCAGCCCUUACGGACCCGACAUCUCUGCCGGAUUUCUGCGCAUGUCAAGCCUUGGUAAGGUUCUUCGCGUUGCGUCGAAUUAAGCCACAUGCUCCGCCGCUUGUGCGGGCCCCCGUCAAUUCCUUUGAGUUUUAGCCUUGCGGCCGUACUCCCCAGGCGGGGCGCUUAAUGCGUUAGCUGCGGCACGAAAGAAGUGGAAACUCCCCUCACACCUAGCGCCCAACGUUUACGGCGUGGACUAC